GAGUUUGAUCGUGGCUCAGGACGAACGCUGGCGGCGUGCCUAAUACAUGCAAGUCGAGCGAGCUUGCCUAGAUGAUUUUAGUGCUUGCACUAAAUGAAACUAGAUACAAGCGAGCGGCGGACGGGUGAGUAACACGUGGGUAACCUGCCCAAGAGACUGGGAUAACACCUGGAAACAGAUGCUAAUACCGGAUAACAACACUAGACGCAUGUCUAGAGUUUGAAAGAUGGUUCUGCUAUCACUCUUGGAUGGACCUGCGGUGC
rnacentral:rRNA from 1 species